GUAAGCAGAAGUACUGCAUGCAUGAUGCAAGUUGAUAUUGCACUAGUGUAUUUUUUUGGGAGCAACAAAACCUACAAUUAAUAUGUUAUUUUUAAUUUUUCUAUUUACUAUGGAUAAACGCUUAAAUAUUACACAUAAUAAGUUUAGUAAGAAUUAGUUGAGAACUUGAGAUAUGGUUGAGUAUAAUUAGUCUUGUUGAACAAUAAAAACCAAUCAAGCCUUCG
rnacentral:lncRNA from 1 species